AUAGAUAUAUUUUUAAUAACAGCCUCGUCAAGAUGUGAUUCAUCUGCCAUACAAUUCACCUGUUCACGGUGUGGACAGUUCAGUGUUCAGCAUAUUCAGAGCCCAACAAUUCACCUGUUCACGGUGUGUACAGUUCAGUGUUCAGCAUAUUCAGAGCCCAACAAUUCACCUGUUCACGGUGUGGACAGUUCAGUGUUCAGCAUAUUCAGAGCCCAACAAUUCAUCUGUUCACGGUGUGUACAGUUCAGUGUUCAGCAUAUUCAGAGCCCAACAAUUCACCUGUUUCCGGUGUGUACAGUUCAGUGUUCAGCAUAUUCAGAGCCCAACAAUUCACCUGUUUCCGGUGUGUACAGUUCAGUGUUCAGCAUAUUCAGAGCCCAACAAUUCACCUGUUCACGGUGUGGACAGUUCAGUGUUCAGCAUAUUCAGAGCCCAACAAUUCACCUGUUCACGGUGUGGACAGUUCAGUGUUCAGCAUAUUCAGAGCCCAACAAUUCACCUGUUCACGGUGUGGACAGUUCAGUGUUCAGCAUAUUCAGAGCCCAACAAUUCACCUGUUCACGGUGUGGACAGUUCAGUGUUCAGCAUAUUCAGAGCCCAACAAUUCACCUGUUCACGGUGUGUACAGUUCAGUGUUCAGCAUAUUCAGAGCCCAACAAUUCACCUGUUUCCGGUGUGGACAGUUCAGUGUUCAGCAUAUUCAGAGCCCAACAAUUCACCUGUUCACGGUGUGGACAGUUCAGUGUUCAGCAUAUUCAGAGCCCAACAAUUCACCUGUUUCCGGUGUGGACAGUUCAGUGUUCAGCAUAUUCAGAGCCCAACAAUUCACCUGUUCACGGUGUGGACAGUUCAGUGUUCAGCAUAUUCAGAGCCCAACAAUUCACCUGUUCACGGUGUGUACAGUUCAGUGUUCAGCAUAUUCAGAGCCCAACAAUUCACCUGUUUCCGGUGUGUACAGUUCAGUGUUCAGCAUAUUCAGAGCCCAACAAUUCACCUGUUUCCGGUGUGGACAGUUCAGUGUUCAGCAUAUUCAGAGCCCAACAAUUCACCUGUUCCCGGUGUGGACAGUUCAGUGUUCAGCAUAUUCAGAGCCCAACAAUUCACCUGUUUCCGGUGUGUACAGUUCAGUGUUCAGCAUAUUCAGAGCCCAACAAUUCAUCUGUUCACGGUGUGUACAGUUCAGUGUUCAGCAUAUUCAGAGCCCAACAAUUCACCUGUUUCCGGUGUGUACAGUUCAGUGUUCAGCAUAUUCAGAGCCCAACAAUUCACCUGUUCACGGUGUGGACAGUUCAGUGUUCAGCAUAUUCAGAGCCCAACAAUUCACCUGUUCACGGUGUGGACAGUUCAGUGUUCAGCAUAUUCAGAGCCCAACAAUUCACCUGUUUCCGGUGUGGACAGUUCAGUGUUCAGCAUAUUCAGAGCCCAACAAUUCACCUGUUCACGGUGUGGACAGUUCAGUGUUCAGCAUAUUCAGAGCCCAACAAUUCACCUGUUCACGGUGUGGACAGUUCAGUGUUCAGCAUAUUCAGAGCCCAACAAUUCACCUGUUUCCGGUGUGGACAGUUCAGUGUUCAGCAUAUUCAGAGCCCAACAAUUCACCUGUUCACGGUGUGGACAGUUCAGUGUUCAGCAUAUUCAGAGCCCAACAAUUCACCUGUUCACGGUGUGGACAGUUCAGUGUUCAGCAUAUUCAGAGCCCAACAAUUCACCUGUUUCCGGUGUGGACAGUUCAGUCUUCAGCAUAUUCAGAGCCAUACAAUUCACCUGUUUCCGGUGUGGACAGUUCAGUGUUCAGCAUAUUCAGAGCCCAACAAUUCACCUGUUUCCGGUGUGGACAGUUCAGUGUUCAGCAUAUUCAGAGCCCAACAAUUCACCUGUUUCCGGUGUGGACAGUUCAGUGUUCAGCAUAUUCAGAGCCCAACAAUUCACCUGUUCAUGGUGUGUACAGUUCAGUGUUCAGCAUAUUCAGAGCCCAACAAUUCACCUGUUUCCGGUGUGGACAGUUCAGUGUUCAGCAUAUUCAGAGCCCAACAAUUCACCUGUUUCCGGUGUGGACAGUUCAGUCUUCAGCAUAUUCAGAGCCCAACAAUUCACCUGUUCAUGGUGUGUACAGUUCAAUGUUCAGCAUAUUCAGAGCCCAACAAUUCACCUGUUCACGGUGUGGACAGUUCAGUGUUCAGCAUAUUCAGAGCCCAACAAUUCACCUGUUUCCGGUGUGGACAGUUCAGUGUUCAGCAUAUUCAGAGCCCAACAAUUCACCUGUUCACGGUGUGGACAGUUCAGUGUUCAGCAUAUUCAGAGCCCAACAAUUCAUCUGUUCACGGUGUGGACAGUUCAGUGUUCAGCAUAUUCAGAGCCCAACAAUUCACCUGUUUCCGGUGUGUACAGUUCAGUGUUCAGCAUAUUCAGAGCCCAACAAUUCACCUGUUUCCGGUGUGGACAGUUCAGUGUUCAGCAUAUUCAGAGCCAUACAAUUCACCUGUUCACGGUGUGGACAGUUCAGUGUUCAGCAUAUUCAGAGCCCAACAAUUCACCUGUUUCCGGUGUGGACAGUUCAGUGUUCAGCAUAUUCAGAGCCAUACAAUUCACCUGUUCACGGUGUGGACAGUUCAGUGUUCAGCAUAUUCAGAGCCCAACAAUUCACCUGUUUCCGGUGUGGACAGUUCAGUGUUCAGCAUAUUCAGAGCCCAACAAUUCACCUGUUCACGGUGUGGACAGUUCAGUGUUCAGCAUAUUCAGAGCCCAACAAUUCACCUGUUCACGGUGUGGACAGUUCAGUGUUCAGCAUAUUCAGAGCCCAACAAUUCACCUGUUUCCGGUGUGGACAGUUCAGUGUUCAGCAUAUUCAGAGCCCAACAAUUCACCUGUUCACGGUGUGGACAGUUCAGUGUUCAGCAUAUUCAGAGCCAUACAAUUCACCUGUUUCCGGUGUGGACAGUUCAGUGUUUAGCAUAUUCAGAGCUGGACAGCUAUCAGUGCCAUCAACCUGAAAACGUUUUCAUUACCCUAAAAAAAAACCCUUCUCUCCUCAUUCCCCUCUUCCUCCAAACCUAG
rnacentral:lncRNA from 1 species